GGGGGGGGGGCUAGGAUGAAAAAUGUUGUCCUGCAUUUUUUUUAGCUGUAAUCUCUGUCCUGCCUUUUUAUUUUUCAUUCUAAUCGGUCCUGCAUUUUUUUUUAGCUGUAAUCUCUGUCCUGCCUUUUUAUUUUUCAUUCUAAUCGGUCCUGCCUUUUUUUUUAGUUUAUCCUGACUUUUUUUUACCUAAAUUGUCGUCCUGACUUUUUUUUUUGCAAGUGUCAUAUCCUGCCUUUUUUUUUACUCAAAACUCCUGUCCUGCCUAUUUUUUUCAAAUUUCAUCCUAGCCCCCCCCCCCCCCC
rnacentral:lncRNA from 1 species